ACGGAAGGCAGCAGUGGGGAAUUUUGCACAAUGGGGGAAACCCUGAUGCAGCGACGCCGCGUGAGUGAAGAAGUAUUUCGGUAUGUAAAGCUCUAUCAGCAAGGAAGAAAAUGACGGUACCUGACUAAGAAGCCCCGGCUAACUACGUGCCAGCAGCCGCGGUAAUACGUAGGGGGCAAGCGUUAUCCGGAUUUACUGGGUGUAAAGGGAGUGUAGGUGGCAAGACAAGUCAGAAGUGAAAAUCCGGGGCUCAACCCCGGAACUGCUUUUGAAACUGUCUAGCUAGAGUGCAGGAGAGGUAAGUGGAAUUCCUAGUGUAGCGGUGAAAUGCGUAGAUAUUAGGAGGAACACUAGUGGCGAAGGCGGCUUACUGGACUGUAACUGACACUGAGGCUCGAAAGCGUGGGGAGCAAACAGGAUUAGAUACCCUGGUA
rnacentral:rRNA from 1 species